GCCUGUUGCCUGGGGUUAGGGAAUCCAGAUGUCUGGGGCCACAAAAGCCAGAUGGAUUUUCCCAUGCCAUGGAUUCCCCGUGCUCGGACUCUGUAGAUCAACAGUGAUGCUGUCAGGGGUGUGGGUGGCUGGCAAGGAAUGUCAGUUUGCUCUUUCGAAAACCAGGCAGAACACUUGAAGUUAGGAUUGUGUCAGAAAAAUUUUAAGUAUAUAUUUUUGGUGGUUCGGCUUUAUCCCCUUGAAGAUUCAAAUCUCCGAAGAGCUAGCCUCUUGACCUCUCUCAGGAAUAUUCAGGAAGUGGGAAAAGGUCACCCUGGAGAAGAUUUUUGCUCAGGGACAGAUGGAGCCUCACUCAUUGGGAUGAGCCAGGACCCUGGUCAGUGGGCACCGUUACAAGUGCCACAGAGUCUUAGAACUGUCCAAGCAGAACAAAGCUAAAAGGGACCCUGCAGUUUGGUCAUUCUGGUAACUUCUCUUUAUGGCUGACUAAAGACUAAAAUUGGUAAUGAAUGUCUUCAGUGUGCCCAACAAACUAUGAAAUCUUUCCCCAAAGGAUAAUUCCUACAAUAGCCCCAUGGAAUAUGUGUAAUUAUCCUUAUCAAGGAGGGGGUGGGGUAGCAGAAAACGUGAAAUUUGAUUACAGAAUGCAGCUAGUGUUUGCAUCCUAGACUUCCCUUUUCUUAUUUCUAUUCUCUCUCUCUCUCUCUCUCUCUCUCUCUCUCUCUCUCUCUCUCUGUUCAUUCAUAUGCUGUAUUUGUGUCUCUCAAGGACUCCACAGGAAGACCAACAGAGACAACUAACCUAGACCCUUUGGGGUCUCCCAGAGACUGACUACCAACCAAAGAAUGAGCAUGGACUGGACCUACUUCUCACCGUUGGCCAUAUAUAGCAGAUGUGCAGCAUGGCCUUCAACAACUGGAGUGGGGACUG
rnacentral:sRNA from 1 species